GUUAGUGGCGAACGGGUGAGUAACACGUGAGUAACCUGCCCUCUUCUUUGGGAUAACUGCUUGAAAGGGUGGCUAAUACUGGAUAUUCUGCUGGUCUCGCAUGGGGCUGGUUGGAAAGGGUUCUGGUGGGGGAUGGGCUCGCGGCUUAUCAGCUUGUUGGUGGGGUAAUGGCUUACCAAGGCUUUGACGGGUAUCCGGCCUGAGAGGGUGACCGGACACAUUGGGACUGAGAUACGGCCCAG
rnacentral:rRNA from 1 species